AAACAUAUUUACUCGAUCGUAAUCAAGAAUUUAAAGAAAGCACAUGAAAAUAACAUUAAAACCUACAAUUUGCGUUCCCAUAAUCCAGCCCCGGUCUACGUUGUCGGCCAGAAAGUGUGGAAACGAAAUUUUCGGCAGUCAUCGGCAGUGGACAAUUAUAAUGCAAAACUAGAUGCCCUGUAUUUGCCUUGUACCGUUCUCGCCCGUGUUGGCACAAGUUCUUACGAGCUGGCCAAUGAAUCCGGCAAGCCCAUUGGCGUCUUUUCGGUAGCCGAUCUAAAACCGGGUAGGGAAGAACAAAAUCAUUCAGCUCCAAAAUAGUAGCGCUGAGCGAGAAACUUCACUGAUGCACCCGGUGGAUAUGCACCUGCUAAUAACGCUGAAAAAAAACAAGAGAUUAGGCAUGCAACAAAGGAAAACUGUAUUUGAUAAUAAUUACCUUUUUUCAUGGCUUGCAUAGAUAUCCUCCUUUUUAACUCGAAUAGAAUCCAGCGCGCGCGGAUGUAAGAAGCAUUUUCGACUCAAUUACCCCCAAAUAACUCUCACUUUUGUACAAUUUAUCGCGAAUUUCCCAAAACCGCAUGUCUUGAUAACAGGCGAACGACACCGAACACUCAAGAAUAAUUUUGACAGGGGCAGGGCCUCGGUAUUCGAGAGAGCUCUUUUGCUUCUUCGCAGCGGAGAAGGGAAAUGAGAAUACUACUCAACAACCCAGGGGUGUGUUUUCGGCGGCAGACUUGAAACCUGAAAAAUAGAAAUUUGAAAUUUAAUAGUAUACGAAAAUAGCAUAAUUUAGUAGAAAAGUGAAACCGUUAUUUACCGUUGAAAAGUCCGGACAUCAAUGAAACCUAUUAGUUCUUGGUUAGCUGAAAAAAGGAACGAUUCUUAAAUGUUAUAUGUAUGUCUGUAAAUACGUUUGUUUACCUGAGAAAAAUUGACUCCAUCUUAAUAGUUUUUAUCCCUCAGCAAACUUAGAAAAACCGCCAAAUGAUACUAUAACCGAUCAGAGUACAUACGAAUAAGUUUGCCAAAGCUGAUGCACCAUAAAAAUUGUUAGGAAUACCUUUUUUUAUCCUUAAAUAUUAGAAUGUUACAAAAUAACCACUUUAAGUAAAUGUAGCGUCCACGAUGUUGGAUGCGUGCCUUCAUUAUUGCUAUCUGAUAAUUACCUUACGCGAGUAUUGGUGUGAGCUCUUUUGCUUCUGCUCAUGAGUGUAGAAGGAAAGUGAGAACUUAGAGAUAGAACCAAAAUGUACUAAGGGGGAUGAAAAUGAUUUGGGCGUUGCACAAAACAUGUUCCAUACUCGAACAUAAACGAAACAAGUCGAUACAACAGGAAAUUAGAAUUGAUGAAUAACUCAGAGGAAGAGAGGGUUGAUGGGGUAUUGUAACCUUUCGGUUACAAAUUUUAAAUAAUUAGCUUUGCCAAUUUAAGAUCUCAACCUGCUCGAAUUUCCUUAAUCCUAAAGCCCUAAGUCCACAUCUGAGUAAGCUGUCGGCUGUGUGAACGAUAGCCCUCCAAGUCUUCUGGGCGGAGGGAUGGUUUACAGGGGAAAGUUUUCUCUGAUGCGAAUGUCUCUCAUUGCUAACAACCUGCCUCGGAUAAGCUAUCAACUGUGUGGGUGAUAACACUCCAAAUCUUCUAGAUGGAAGGGUCACUCAGGCGGGAUAACUUUACCGAGACGGCAUACAGUCACCUAUAUGGGUGAUAAUAUUCCAAGUCUUCUAGGCGGAACAGUCACUCAGUAGGAAAACUUUGCUUACUAUCACCACCCCGAUUUGCAACUGUAAGGGUGGUAACCCUCCAAGUCCAUGGAUGGACGGACCACUCAGACACUAAUACGCCCACAGAUACGUCGAUAAAUACGAACACGGUGUUCAAUACCACAGGGUGCUAACCAAGAGGAUUGUUGCCAAUUCAAUAGGUUGUUUAAAAUCGGGAAGCUUCGGAUAUCCCGCUUUUAAACUUGAAAAGCUUUAAAAAGGCCAAUCCGUAAAAUGAAGCUUUAUUCUUUCUUGCAAUCCAAAAGAAAACACAGGUGCGCGACGGUGAUUUUUUUAAAGUUGUACAGUUUUUAAAAUUAAAUUGUGACGGAAGAUAAUGUUGUUUUGUUCAAAUUCAAAACUAUUGUGAUAGUACAAUGUAAUCCAAUAUCCGAGAAGACAAGUGAUUGUUAGUAGCAAAAAACAAAAGGUCCUGGAGGGGCCUUUUGUGUUUUGGUUCCAGAAAUUUGGACCGUUUCUUCGACAGUCACCAAAAGUGCAACACAAGAACACCGCAUCCGCAUCUAAAAUUACGACCACGAAGCUACGAACAUCGUUCAAGGUAAAGAAUCAUUCAUCCCCGGAACGUCAAUAAAUCGGUGGCCGGGAAGUACAGACCCUGGUGGAUUCGUGUGCUUCGGCUGCUUAGUCCAGCCUAGUCCUACCGGCUUGACCAUUGCCGGCGGUGAGGGAAGACCGCAGAGAAGAAGGAGCAACCGCUAGCCCCUCUAGUACACCAAAACGAAUGCGCGCAAGUACACUUAAUAAGGCCGUGAGAAUUCUCGGGAUAGGGAACAAUAAAAAUUGUAAUAGUGAUUAUAACUUUGGGUUUAAGCAAUAUUAUCCGCCACUAACUUCCCUGAUUUCCGCUUACCGAACUCGAAAGGAGUAUUCAGCCCUCUUCUUUUGGUUUCUUUUGAGAAUUUUGCUUUUUCUAUUUUAUUUAGCCUUUCAACAGCAGCAAUUGAACUGGUAAGUUUUUCCCUUGGUUAAACUUUGCAUAUUGUUUCGAUAUCCGUUUCUGUGUUCGCGCGAGUUACGUGGUGAUAAUAAGCAUUGUUGUGACUGUACCGGUAAGCUACAUAAAUUCCUCUCAAACCCCCCCCACCCCACUGAGCAGUU